rnacentral:rRNA from 1 species
GACAGAGGUGCCGAGCGUUAGGCGGAAUCACUGGGCUUAAAGCGUGUGUAGGCGGACCGUUAAGUACCUUGUGAAAUCCCCCGGCUCAACCGGGAACGGCUGGGUAUACUGGCGGUCUUGAGCCAUCCAGGGGCAGUCGGAACAGACGGUGGAGCGGUGAAAUGCGUAGAUAUCGUCUGGAACGCCGAAGGUGAAAACAGACUGCUGGGGAUGCGCUGACGCUGAGACACGAAAGCCAGGGGAGC